GUGCAUUUCAGGUCAGGACAAGUUCUAGAAAACUAGAGAACAAGAACUGGGGGUCUCCAAUGCAUAUCUGCAGGGCUUCUAUCACAACCACACUGUGUCCAUGUGCUGCCAACUUCUCUUCGAGACUUUUUACUCUCAAGAUAAAUGACAUGAAGGACAGAAUUGACAAAGAAACAGACAGAGGUGCCAUUCUCAGAAAGAAGGUUCUGCUCCAUGAUUCAUUAAAAACACAAGACCAGGAUAUUAUGUUGCAAACUCUGGCUCAGAAAAUUGCAACAGUACAUUCCAGUGUGGAUAAACGGUUGACUAACCUCAGCACCUUGGAAAAAGCUGGCUAGUAUUGAGAAUCGUGCAUCUUUGCUUCUCGAGGAAAUUGAGAGUAUCCCUCAAGAAACAUUGCACACGCUGAGGUGUAUCAAGGACAAGGAGAGGAGGAGCAGGCUGCGCCAGGAAGAGCUAAGACUGGAGAUGGAGAAACAAGCAGAAAGGAUGAAAAAGUGCAUCAAAAGAUCACAGCACGAUACCAAGAAAACUAUUUAAUAACCACGUGAUGUUAAACAGUGACUUCUUUGACAGUGACAUCUGUCCAUGUCUGAUCAGCCCAAAGCCCGAUCACCUUGCACAAUGAUUUUCACAGGUGAGUAGACAUAACUUUUUCACAAUUUAGCACUGGAGAUGCUCAGAAUAUUAAUUUAACUUUACUCAGUCAAAAGUGCACUCACUUUGAGAUGUGUGAUGAGUUGUUAGAUCCCAAGGAAAAGAAAUAGCAGGUUACUGAAAUCAUGUGCUUCGUAGACUGCAGUGCAGGAACAGUGCAGAGUUUACAGGGAUGAUAAGUGAUGUUUAA